UUAUUUUAUACCACAAUAAAAAAAACAUACUAUGCUCCUAUUUCUUAACAUAUAUAAAAAGAAUUGUAGUUACAAGAUAAAAUUAAUCAAUUAUUAUAAACAAAACGUAAUACUUAGCAAGCUUUAAGCUACAAAAUUAUUACAAGCAAAGUUCGUAUGUCAGACAAAAUUAUCAUUUUAUAAUAAUUUCAUCAUAAUAUACUUAAAAAGUCUUAUUUAAGUACAUAAAGCUUACAAAAUCAACACAGAAAUAUAGCUAUUUGGCACAACUUUACUUUCACAUAGUUAUGUUUUAGUGAGCUGCUGAAAGUGAAAAGCGAUUAAUGAUUUCUGUGAAAUUAAAAUGUUUAAUAACAUUAGUUGAACAGAUGUCCUUAAACAAUUCAAAUAAAUAAAUAAAAAGUUGUACCUACACAUACCUAUACUGCAAAAGAAGAGUGCAACAUUGAAUCAUAAUAGGUAGUUACUAAUUGUACGCUACAGUCUGUACCUUUAGGUAUUUAAAUAAAAGUAAACAAACAAUGUUUAUAUUUUCGGGUAGUUAUAAAAUUUAUUGGUUAACCAACCAAAUACAAACCUACAUUACCUGACUUUAACCUACAUUAUUUGAUCAUGUAAUGUUUUUUUUAUCUACCCUCAACUGGCUUAAGGAGCCAUUUAAGGGUAGAUUUUGUUUACUUUUAUUUAAAUACUUGAAGAUACAGAGUAUAGCAAACCAAUCGCAGCGGUUUGUAACCUAACUCAACCUACCGUUCGAAGCUGCACUAUCUUAUUAAGGGAACGUUGCAGAUUUUAAAGUUUCUUACAAUUGAGAAUGGCGUUGUUUUUGUCGAGAUACUCCGGCAAAUUUUAAACAUGUGUUAGAAAUAAUAAUAGUAAUGUAUUUCGUAAACAUACAAAAACCCUAUCAUUAUAGGUAUUUAAGACUAUCACAAGAGCUAGUUUUCAGUAUUCAAAUGUGCGAUUUCUCAAGGAAAACGGUCACGCAACGUUUCACGAUCAUCCUUUCCAUUAUUCUUUUUUAGGUUCUGUAACUAAAAUAGAAUAGAGGAUUUCCCUACAGUGUCGUCAUGUUGUUCUGUCCAUAUUUACCUCAGUCUGCCCCUGGGUCUUUGUACGAGUACGUCGCAGAAUUUUUAUUAAAAAACUGUAAACGAUGCGUCUUACGUUGGUAGCAACCACUUUGUGUAGUUCAACUAAUAGGAAGUUCAAAUAUAGGUCAUUAAAAUUAACUACUAAAUGGUAAUUAUUUUCGGUAACGAUCACUCUCAAAUCGAUAAUAUGGUUGUUGUACAAAGAGCAAUGUUGGUUUUUGGUGCAAGCGUUGAUUUUGAAUCCCAGCCAGUGAUUCUACAAUAGAAUAACUAGCGUAAGCGAGAAAAUUUUCGGAAGAUUUUGCUUUCAAUAUUUUAACCGACUUCCAAAAAGGAGGAGGUUAUCCAUUAGACCGUUUUUUUGUAUGUUUAAUGUUUUGUGUUCACUCAGUUCAAAUUUGUGUCGUGUUCCCUGACAGCUGUCGAAUGAUUAAGACGUCGCUCAUCAUCCCAUCGAUGUCCACAUUUUUAACUUCAACGUUUGGCUACAUGCGAGUGUCGCAUGUAGCCAAACGUUUGACGGAAUUUGUGCAUGAUCUGAUGUGCGAUUUUUUAUUUAUUUAUCCAUGAUACAUUAAUUUAAUUUCUCUUUAGUUAAAAUUCUAGGAAUUACAAUCAUAGUCUUGAUGGGGCGUGACUAGAGCAGGCGUUAUCAUUUACAGCUGUGUUGUAGGUGGCUAACUGAAAAGGAUACUAUGUUCAUAUAAUGUCAAUCGAAUAUCUGAGCGUACUCAGUAUUAGUACAGCCUACCGAUCCAAUAUUUCAUUAUUAAUCGUUACAAAUAGGUGAUAUAGAAAUAAAUAACUGUUCUGUGUUACUUUAAGUGAACCCUUUACUUUAGGUUUCGCUAAUUCACACGAUUUAAAAAAACCUAGAUCAAUACGUUAAUUAAAAUUAAGCGUUAAAUCAUAGUGUUAAAUGUUGUCGAUAAAGAGUUCCUUCUAUACAAAAAAGGGUUAAGUUAUUUGCUUAUAAAAAGUAUCAAGUUAAAGUUGUAUCUACUGUGCGUACUAGUAUGCACUAUCCGUUAGGAAGAGCUGAUAAAGAAGGAACACUCUCUUUGAAACUUGUAACUUUCACCAGUGUCCAAGUCAAAAUAGGCAAGGCGGUGCGAAUCGAGUUUUGACACGCCAUUCCAUUCAUUAAAAGAAUUAGUGAUAAAAAAAAUAGCUGAUGUUGUAAUUAGAAGAAAACGAAAACAUACAACAUGGUAGAACCUUUGUAUACUCGGCGCUGAAUACAUUUUCACUCUAAGAAAAAGUUACGAAUGGGUGAAGUACGUAUUUAAGUAAGUAAGUAUUUAGAAUGAUGUAACUGUAAAUGUAUUCGUAAUAAAAACAGAAAAUUAUUAUAUAUAUUUAUACGUACAAUUCCUUUGAAUACUUAGUUAUUAUAUUUAGACAAAAGAGUUUGUGUUUUCGUGUAAUAUUAGGUAAAUCACCAAAUAUAGGUAGUGGUUGUUAAUGUCAGCCAGCCAUGCAUGACUUCAAAACGCAACUAUGGAGAAAGUAUGUUAAUUUUGCAUGAUGAAGAUUUUAUUAUACUUACAUGAAAUAAUAGGGUAAUUUCUUGUCGAAAUAUAUACAUUUAUCAUGUAGCAAUUUCGCUGACUGUUAUGCACGGCUCUGAACCUAUGAUUGAAAUAGGCUCUAUUGAGCCAUACCUGACUUAAAAGUAGGUGUCAUCAGUAUCAAUUACCAAGCAAGUCAUAAACGCGUGCAUGUGUAAAUUAAGUUAUGUGUGCUCAAACAUUUUGUGCAGAGGUAGAAUAUAAUAAUAACAUUUAUUAUUUUAUUUUAUUACGUAGCAACACAAUAAUGACAAGCAUUUUUAUUUCUAGUUACAUAGUAUAAGUAUUAUUUCUAAAAAUCUAGACCAGGGUUCCCCAACGUGUUCUCAUUAACAACCUCUAUCCGUUAUCCCAACGCCGCCGCGGCCCUAAUGAGCCCUGCUCGGUGCUCGUCUGCAUGGUUGAGAAGAUCUGAUCUAAGCUAUAUUUUACUAAUGCAGAUAUAUUUAGAGUCUAAAAAUAAGGAUAUAUGAAUUCAUACUUUUUAUUUUAUAACUAUAUCACGUAUAUUUUUUCAUAAUGAAUUUGACAUCAUUUCAUAAUAUGCUGUUAUUGAAAAAUGUGGCACAUAAUCUAUACUAAUAUUUAUGACGGUUAUAGUAUGUUAUAGUAGUGACUGUGACAAAAUUUAGUGGAAGACUUCCUCCAGGACUUAACACUUAUCGCGCGGUAGGCACACAAUGAUUACCAAUGUAAUGGAAUUGCGAAUGCAAUAGCAUAAUUACAAGAUUCACGUAAACAUAAUAAAUAACGAAUAAACGUACACCGAUAAGCAGAAAUAUAAAACUGGAUUAUUAACCUUCUUAUCACAGUCUAAUUGUAUAAAAUAUGCGUAAGUAUACCUCUACAGCCAUCAAAAAUAUUAAUUAGUUACGUCUGGCGUUACAAUCCUUUUGGAAGUAGGUAUUCAAAACAAAAUCAGUCACAUUCAUAAAAUUUUACAUCAAUAUAAAAAUGUAUGCGACAAUUAUUUCGUUGUCCUAGAAAACAAUUUAAAUUAAAAUAAUAUUUUCGAAUAAACUUGGGCGUGGAACUAGUCUUCUGAUUGCAAUUAAAUUAUAUAUUUCAUCACGUAUAUUAUAAUACUUAAAACGAUGCACGGAUAUUCAAUGAUAUAUUUUUAUCCUAGGAGGCACGAUAUUCUAGUACAUAAUAAAAAAUUUGGUGUUUAUCAUAGCUAUAUGUAAAUACUUACUGGUAGGUACGGUAGGUAGAUAUUAAAGGUAUGAUUUCAAAGUGUAUUGAAAUUGUGGUUCCAAGGGCAAAAAAAGAGGUUGGGAACGUAGUUAAAUUGCAGAAUAUAUGUUUGACCUAUAUAAGAUUAGGUAUCCGUUUGUCUGUCUUAGUCAAUAGUAAAAAAAAUUAAGACACAUAACAUAUUAUAUUACGUGUUGGUAGCUACACUUAAGGAUCUAUAUGACUUAUUCUAAAGUAGGUAGGUCUGUACAAUAAUAUUAGCCAAUCAGAGAAGAUCUUACAUCAUUCAUUAAAAAACUAACUACACCCCGCAAAACAUUAAAAUUAUAUGCCGAGGUUAAGUAUUAUUAAUAAAUAACCUUGAUUUUGUAAAUAAACAAUAGGUAUUGAUUAUACUAUAGCUGAAUAUAACCUUUCAUUAAAAAUAAAUAAGGUUUAUCUUUAUUUUAAUUAAAACAGUGUAUAUGUAUAUUAAUUAAAGUAAAGGUAAUUUUGUCACCCCAAAAAUCGCGACGCAUUAUGUACCUAAUGCAGGUAAUGGAAUGUGAAAAUUCGGCAAAACAUGAAACAUUAGCAUCAUGGUCGUAACUCUAUUAUCGGUUCUAGCUAAAGAUAGGUAGGUACCUGUCUAAAAUCGUGAAAACAUAUCAGUAAUAAUACUAAUAAUGUCUUUAAGUAUGUGACAGAUAACAUUAGGAUACACACAUUAACAUUUUUCAUAGAAUUUAAUUUUCGACCCAUUUCGUGCCUUUUGUCACAGCAAAGAGAAUAGAUAGUAUAAAGGGGUCCUGUCAUAGUAAAUUUCGUAGUCACAGUAAAUUUACUGCCAUCUAUCGACACACGACUAAAACUCAAAAUGAAAACGUAUAAAACUAUCGAAAAAAAAUAUAUAUAUGGAUAAAUGAUUUUAUUAUUUUUAUAUCAUUUUGACCCAUGUUCAUUCACUGAUACCUAUGUGUUAAAAUUGUUAAAUAUGAAACGGUGUCGUCAACGCCAUCUAGCCGACCAUAGGCCAAAGGUAUGUGCGCCAUCUAUCCGAGAAUGACUUUUGCUUGAUUUCCGAGGCACGUUUUUUUCCUAGAAUUUAUUCAUCUUAUACGGAGUUACAUAUGUCUUUGGUCACAGUGACAAUCAAUAUGAAAAUCUUAUUUUUAAAUUUUCUUAGUGGCUAGGGACUGACGUUUAUUAUACACAUGAAUAUGACAAUAUUAGGGUACAAAUUUAUCAAUAUGUUUUUUUAUAGCCUUACGAGGUGUUACGUUAUGUGUGAUUUUAACCCAAACAAAUUAGCGAUUUCAGCAAAAAUAACGAACAAUAAUAAAAUUUAGGUACUCAAAAAUUUGGUAAUGAGACUAAUGAGACAAGGGACUAGGGACUGACAUUUGAGACAUGGGAUAAUUAUUUUCUACAAUUAAUAACGUAGUGAUCAAUACCAAAACCAGUGAUCUGAUUAAACGGCUUUUAUAUUUAAUCCCUAUUAAAAAAAUGUGUACCUAAUAAUUUAAUAUGAAACUGUUAAAAUUUCUGAAACACGAAGUUAACCGAUUGUCACGUAAUCACCCAACAACAAGACAAACAUAAUUUGUGCAAAUGGAGACGUGUAAAUUUCACCGUUACUAUUGUUUAUUAAAUUAUUCAAUACCCAAAGUUUAAAAACGUUGAUCGAAUUAAUUUAGAGUUAGUAGCACUUUUGAAACUUACAAUGUCGUAGAUUGCCUACAGUAAAAAAAAUGUCAAGCGGGGUCCACAAUAGAUUAUAAGUUAGGAGUGCUCAUUUUAUAUUUACAUGACUGUGUCAUACAAAAUGAUGGCGACGGUUAUCAAUAUGGUCACAAAAUUAUCUAUACUUACAUUAUAUUUUCACUAUGCGGCUGAACACAAUGUUAAAAAACUUAAACAUUUAGCCACAGUGUCCGAAUCGAUCUGAGUUUAAAAAGCUUAAAAUGUUUAGUUUAGUUGGAAUGUUUAAUUGGUCUCUCUAAUUUAAUAAAAUCUAGCAUAGAGCAUUAUGCUUCCUGUUAUGCUUUUAUUUAUUUUUAUUACUCAUAUUAUUGUUUCGGACACUGUGUCAAAUUGCUUGUAAUACAUUAAUUCGCAACACUUUUUUUAUAUACAGUGCGACAUCUUGACAAUUUUUUAUAAUUAUACCACGUGCUCACGAGGAACACGUGCUUACUUAUUCCUGAUCAUAUUUAAAGACUAAAAUGUCCUAUUAACUUUUUUUCUACUCGUCGACUGUAAUUCUUGAAUUAAGAUUUCGUAUACCAAACGGCUUUGGGCACUUUUAAUGUAUGGGCUCCUAACUCAACUGUAAUAUUCAUUUCGAUACAGUUUAGUCAACUAUAAUGAAAUUGACCAAUCACAGCUCGCCGCGGUCAAGAGGACGAAACAAAACCAUAGCUCAAUUUAAUUAUUUAUUUUAGGGUGUAUUGUAGGAACAAUUGCUUCAUAAGUCAGAAACGCGCAUGUGACGCCCUUAAUAUAGGAACAUCCAUAGACUAUGAAAACCGCUUAGCGUUACGUGUUAGUCUCCAUAGGCUACGGUGGCUAAAGUCGAGAAAAAAACUGUUUAAAAAUUGAAUUUAGCAAGGAGCAAGUACCAGGGCCUCAUGAGUUACGAGAAGGUGUCGUUGACCAACCCGCCGGGCCGCGGCGGCCGGGGCGGGGGACCGUACGAGUAUGAAAUGGUAUCGCGGCUGCUCGCGUAUCUUAGCUGUAUACUUUUGGUUUGUUUACCUAUAUGAUUCUACUAGUUCAAAGUAUUAUUUUUGUUCACUCGUAGAAAAAUUAUUUGUACAACAAGAGAGCAAAGUUUGAUAUUUCUUCGAGUGCUUAUUUUGAGUCCCGUGCAAGCAAAAGAUUCUAUAAUAGAUUCACGAGCGUAGC